CUCUGGAAGCCACACCCACUGAUUGGGAGUUGCCGCCAGUUUGGAGUCAAGUGUUUCGUGUUAGAGUAGCGAAACCACACCCACCACAGCAACUGGAGUGGACAGAAAAUGAAGUUGAAAUGACGUCAGUUCCUCUUUCCCCUUCUCCUGUAUCCCCCCAGACCACGGCCAGCACUAGAAGCACCUCCCCCCUACUAAUGGAGGAUCCUUUCUCUUGGAAUGAUACUAAACCACACCCACUUAAGAAGAGUAACUCGAGAAGAUAUUUAAUGGAAAAGUUUCAUUCA